GUUGAAGUUUGGCGAGGGGUAAACCAUAUCCUAAGAUGGAUAAAAGCUUAAUCACAUGUGAUUAAGAUGUAUGUUAUGUUCUAAAUCACCUGGCGACAUACUGUUAUGGCUAAAUGUUGCAUGAUCUGUUUAUGUUCCUCUUCAUGUGGUAGUAGGAAUCCUGAUCUCAUAAUGAUACUAAUUGUAAAACGAAAUCAUAUGAUAAAUUAAUUAAAACAAAAGAAUAAUUAUUGAGAAUCAAAGCAAGAAACAAAACCUAAAAUUCUAAAAAUGAAACAUUAAAAAUUUUAAAUGCUCGAAUUAAGUAACCUUAUUUAUGGAAACUACAAGUUAUGAGAAUUUGAUCUUAUGUGAUAUGUGAAAAAAU
rnacentral:lncRNA from 1 species